UUCUUCUGUAGUUUCUUAGAAGUAUAAUCUGCCCACUGAGUGAUUGAAGGGCUGCAGGAUUUAACUGUGCAAAGGUAGCAUAAUAAUUAGUUUUUUAAUUAAGGAAUGGAAUGAACGAUUUAAUAAUGUGUGGUUUUUAUUGUUACAACAUUGAAAUUGAAUUUUGAGUGAAAAUGCUUUAUUUAAUCUAAAAGACGAUAAGACCCUAUAGAUCUUGAUUUUUACUGAAUUUUUAUUCAUGGAUGUUUUAAAAUUAAUGUAAAAUUUUUACUGGGGUGGUAGGAGAAACUGAUAAACUUCUUAGUUUUUAUUAACCUAAGUUCAGGAUAAAAAGAUACCUUAGGGAUAACAGCGUUAUAAAGUUUUAGAGAUCUAAUCGAUAACUUAGUUUGCGACCUCGAUGUUGAAUUAGAGAGUUAAAUUUUAGCAGUAUAAAAUUUAAAUGGUCUGUUCGACCCUUAAUUCUCUACA
rnacentral:rRNA from 1 species